rnacentral:lncRNA from 1 species
AAAUCGUCUAUACCGAUCCUACUUUGAGCGAAUUACCAGCGGCGAGUCGCAACCUGAUUGGCUACGAAGAUUGCCGAACACAGCCGAAGGCCUAUUCGCCGCUCAACCAGCGCUGGCUACUCGCAGGUAAUCUGUUUCACUGGUUCACUCGCCACCACCUCCUGUUUGAUUACGUGUACGAGGUCAUUAGGCCAAGCCAAAGACAUAAAGACGGAGUGCUCGUAUCUAAAAGCACGGGGAAAAAGUGAAGCUAGCACUCCGUCUUUAUAUGUCUUUGGGCCAAGCGCCAAGUUAGUUUUCGUUAUUUCGUUAGUUUUCUCUGUACGAGUGUACGAGGCCAUGUGCUCACCCUAAGACCCUAACUAACCAUCAAAUUACUCGUUUUCGCUCUCUUGUCCUUUCAAUUUUCAAUACUAAUUCAUCAUGGAUAUCGACCCAGUUGCUGCACAGCGGCCACCAGCGGACAGAAGAGCCAUGUUGCUUAGCUUAUGUAAGUUAUGUUUUCUACUUUUACCAGAUAUGAAGCCGAGACAGGUUUCACGAGUCUAGACUCUUUUUGUUACCAUAUUUAAAAUGACUUUGAAAAUUAUUUGUAAAGCGUCCAGCCCACAUAGUAUUUAGAGGCUUCAACGAGGCUCAUCGGUGGAAUUGUUGACCAUUGGCUUUCAAAGAUCGUCAGUAACCAUUACGUUCGCUACCUAGGUAUGAAAGAUCAGAUCCUGAGAUUUCCCAGGAAUUUUAAGCAGAAUUGGCCGAUAAUAAAAAAUUAGUGCCAGUUUGAAGGUCCUCGUUUGUACGUGGGCUGGACGUUUAAUAGAUAUAGGUAGGUAGAUAUUUUUCUUCUCUGUAGCAGACUGCAUUCAUUAAAGCUUUUUCUGAGUGGCAGAACCACCGGUUGCCAUUUUGGUACAAAUAUUGGGAUGUUGAUCAGUAAGGAGUUAAAGAAUGAACAUUCCACCAAUGUAAACAAAUAGAUUUCUUCCUCUCUUCAAACCUUUACUUACCUCAAUUAUACUGCAAUGGUGUAAAUAUAUACUCAAUGUACUAGCAUGAACCUUUUUUCUGCCGUAACUGAAGUAUGAAGAAAAAUAAC